rnacentral:misc_RNA from 1 species
GAUGAAGAACUCAGCGAAAUGCGAUAAGUAGUGUGAAUUGCAGAAUUCAGUGAAUCAUCGAAUCUUUGAACGCACAUUGCGCCCCUUGGUAUCCCGAGGGGCAUGCCUGUUCGAGCGUCAUUUCACCACUCAAGCCUGGCUUGGUGUUGGGCGACGUCCCCUUUGGGGACGCGCCUCGAAACGCUCGGCGGCGUGGCACCGGCUUUAAGCGUAGCAGAAUCUUUCGCUUUGGAAGUCGGGGCCCCGUCUGCCGGAAGACCUACUCGCAAGGUUGACCUCGGAUCAGGCAGGGAUACCCGCUGAACUUAAGCAUAUCAAAAGCGGAGGA